CCUACGGGAGGCAGCAGUGGGGAAUAUUGGGCAAUGGGCGCAAGCCUGACCCAGCAAUGCCGCGUGAAGGAAGAAGGCUUUCGGGUUGUAAACUUCUUUGACAGGGGAAGAGCAGAAGACGGUACCCUGAAAACAAGCCACGGCUAACUACGUGCCAGCAGCCGCGGUAAUACGGAGGUGGCAAGCGUUGUCCGGAAUUACUGGGUGUAAAGGGCGUGUAGCCGGGAAGGCAAGUCAGAGGUGAAAUCCGGAGGCUCAACCUCCGAAUUGCAUUUGAUACUGUUUUUCUUGAGUGCUGGAGAGGCAGACGGAAUUCCUGGUGUAGCGGUGAAAUGCGUAGAUAUAAGGAAGAACACCAGUGGCGAAGGCAGUCUGCUAGACAACAACUGACGGUGAGGCACGAAAGCGUGGGGAGCAAACAGGAUUAGAUACCCCAGUAGUC
rnacentral:rRNA from 1 species